rnacentral:rRNA from 1 species
GGAUUGACACAUCGGUCGUGCCUUAAGGGGUAUGAACUGGUGUAGUUAAUUUCUCACCUUCUGGAGAACCGCGACGCCCUUAAUUGGGUGUCACGGGGAACCAGGACCCUUACUUUGAAAAAAUUAGAGUGUUUAAAGCAGGCAUUUUGCUUGAAUACAUUAGCAUGGAAUAAUAAAAUAGGUCGGCAUGAUUCUAUUUUGUUGGCUUCUAGGAUCACCGUA